rnacentral:misc_RNA from 1 species
GGAGCAGAAGAGGAAUUUUCUUGAACAGUCAACCCCCACUCGUGUUUUUCAGCUUCCGGUAAGCGAUGACUACUACUUUACCAUUCACUUCACCAUUAAUCUCCGCAUUUUCGCCGAGAAAGACCCUCUUCUCGCUCAAGCUUAAUCGGCCCUCCAUUAGUCAGAGUAAACAAUCUCUCCACUCGUCGAGUCCAUGUGUAAAUGUUCGCCAUUUCAACUG